rnacentral:rRNA from 4 species
ACCCUUUAAUGUUUGAUGUUCUAACGUGGACCCGUAAUCCGGGUUGCGGACAGUGUCUGGUGGGUAGUUUGACUGGGGCGGUCUCCUCCUAAAGAGUAACGGAGGAGCACGAAGGUUGGCUAAUCCUGGUCGGACAUCAGGAGGUUAGUGCAAUGGCAUAAGCCAGCUUGACUGCGAGCGUGACGGCGCGAGCAGGUGCGAAAGCAGGUCAUAGUGAUCCGGUGGUUCUGAAUGGAAGGGCCAUCGCUCAACGGAUAAAAGGUACUCCGGGGAUAACAGGCUGAUACCGCCCAAGAGUUCAUAUCGACGGCGGUGUUUGGCACCUCGAUGUCGGCUCAUCACAUCCUGGGGCUGAAGUAGGUCCCAAGGGUAUGGCUGUUCGCCAUUUAAAGUGGUACGCGAGCUGGGUUUAGAACGUCGUGAGACAGUUCGGUCCCUAUCUGCCGUGGGCGCUGGAGAACUGAGGGGGGCUGCUCCUAGUACGAGAGGACCGGAGUGGACGCAUCACUGGUGUUCGGGUUGUCAUGCCAAUGGCACUGCCCGGUAGCUAAAUGCGGAAGAGAUAAGUGCUGAAAGCAUCUAAGCACGAAACUUGCCCCGAGAUGAGUUCUCCCUGAGACUUAGAGUCUCCUGAAGGAACGUUGAAGACGACGACGUUGAUAGGCCGGGUGUGUAAGCGCAGCGAUGCGUUGAGCUAACCGGUACUAAUGAACCGUGAGGCUUAACCUU